rnacentral:rRNA from 1 species
GGCCGGCGCUGCAUUUGGCUCCCUGAGCUGGUGUAGUGCUUGGUCAUCCGUAUGGGAAGCUAGCUCGGCCUUCACUGGUCGGCUAGUGGAUCAUACACUUUACUUUGAAAAAAUUAGAGUGUUUCAGGCAGGCAAUUGCUUGGAUACUGUAGCAUGGAAUAAUGGAAUAGGACUUUGACCUAUUUGUUGGUUUCUUGAGGUCAAAGUA